UAACAAAUAUAUUUUGACCUCAUUCAUCCU
rnacentral:piRNA from 1 species